rnacentral:rRNA from 1 species
GGAUUAGAUACCCUGGUAGUCUACGCAGUAAACGAUGGUUACUAGCUGUUCGGCAUAAUUAAGUGUUGAGUGGCCAAGCGAAAGUGAUAAGUAACCCACCUGGGGAGUACGUUCGCAAGAAUGAAACUCAAAGGAAUUGACGGGGGCCCGCACAAGCGGUGGAGCAUGUGGUUUAAUUCGAUGAUACGCGAGGAACCUUACCAGGGCUUAAAUGCAGUCUGACAGGGGUAGAAAUACCUUUUUCUUCGGACAGAUUGCAAGGUGCUGCAUGGUUGUCGUCAGCUCGUGCCG